UGGCGUAGCUCGUUGCUUUCCCUUUUUUUCUCCACUUUUUUUUUUAAUAUUUGGGUGAAGAUUUUUCCUCUGCUCCUAACGGGGUUGUAGGGGUGUAGAGGAGCCAUUGAGGAGGCUUUUUUUCUCAUCCGGUCUUAAACGACCAGGUCUUCGUUUGUGUCAGGAUGAGAUUUUCCUCCUGUUCUCGACACAGUCAAUU
rnacentral:lncRNA from 1 species